rnacentral:lncRNA from 1 species
CGUCUGUAGGUGGACUUAAAGGUAGUUGUGAGCUGCCAAAUGUGGGUGCUAGGAAUCAAACUCAGAUCUUCUGGGAGAGCAGUCAGUCCUCUUAACCACUGAGCCCCCUCUCCAGCACUCAAAACUGUUAUUUCAACAACAAAACAAUAAUUAUUGGGCCGGGAGUGCAGGCCAGGGAAGGGUGCUUAUGUAUUCGUGAGGGGCUUUAAGGUUCCCAGCCUUGGAAAACAAGCAAAACAGAACCCUCAUUUCUGGACUGAUCUGUGGCCACAAUUUGAAAAAUGAUUAAAUGAAUAAAUCAUACAAAAACCAGGGGUACAGAGGACGAUCCUGUCUCAAGGGAAAACAACAAAACAAACAAA